rnacentral:rRNA from 1 species
GAAGGUGUGCUGUGAGGCAUGCUGGAGGUAUCAGAAGUGCGAAUGCUGACAUAAGUAACGAUAAAGCGGGUGAAAAGCCCGCUCGCCGGAAGACCAAGGGUUCCUGUCCAACGUUAAUCGGGGCAGGGUGAGUCGACCCCUAAGGCGAGGCCGAAAGGCGUAGUCGAUGGGAAACAGGUUAAUAUUCCUGUACUUGGUGUUACUGCGAAGGGGGGACGGAGAAGGCUAUGUUGGCCGGGCGACGGUUGUCCCGGUUUAAGCGUGUAGGCUGGUUUUCCAGGCAAAUCCGGAAAAUCAAGGCUGAGGCGUGAUGACGAGGCACUACGGUGCUGAAGCAACAAAUGCCCUGCUUCCAGGAAAAGCCUCUAAGCAUCAGGUAACAUCAAAUCGUACCCCAAACCGACACAGGUGGUCAGGUAGAGAAUACCAAGGCGCUUGAGAGAACUCGGGUGAAGGAACUAGGCAAAAUGGUGCCGUAACUUCGGGAGAAGGCACGCUGAUAUGUAGGUGAAGUCCCUUGCGGAUGGAGCUGAAAUCAGUCGAAGAUACCAGCUGGCUGCAACUGUUUAUUAAAAACACAGCACUGUGCAAACACGAAAGUGGACGUAUACGGUGUGACGCCUGCCCGGUGCCGGAAGGUUAAUUGAUGGGGUCAGCGCAAGCGAAGCUCUUGAUCGAAGCCCCGGUAAACGGCGGCCGUAACUAUAACGGUCCUAAGGUAGCGAAAUUCCUUGUCGGGUAAGUUCCGACCUGCACGAAUGGCGUAAUGAUGGCCAGGCUGUCUCCACCCGAGACUCAGUGAAAUUGAACUCGCUGUGAAGAUGCAGUGUACCCGCGGCAAGACGGAAAGACCCCGUGAACCUUUACUAUAGCUUGACACUGAACAUUGAGCCUUGAUGUGUAGGAUAGGUGGGAGGCUUUGAAGUGUGGACGCCAGUCUGCAUGGAGCCGACCUUGAAAUACCACCCUUUAAUGUUUGAUGUUCUAACGUUGACCCGUAAUCCGGGUUGCGGACAGUGUCUGGUGGGUAGUUUGACUGGGGCGGUCUCCUCCUAAAGAGUAACGGAGGAGCACGAAGGUUGGCUAAUCCUGGUCGGACAUCAGGAGGUUAGUGCAAUGGCAUAAGCCAGCUUGACUGCGAGCGUGACGGCGCGAGCAGGUGCGAAAGCAGGUCAUAGUGAUCCGGUGGUUCUGAAUGGAAGGGCCAUCGCUCAACGGAUAAAAGGUACUCCGGGGAUAACAGGCUGAUACCGCCCAAGAGUUCAUAUCGACGGCGGUGUUUGGCACCUCGAUGUCGGCUCAUCACAUCCUGGGGCUGAAGUAGGUCCCAAGGGUAUGGCUGUUCGCCAUUUAAAGUGGUACGCGAGCUGGGUUUAGAACGUCGUGAGACAGUUCGGUCCCUAUCUGCCGUGGGCGCUGGAGAACUGAGGGGGGCUGCUCCUAGUACGAGAGGACCGGAGUGGACGCAUCACUGGUGUUCGGGUUGUCAUGCCAAUGGCACUGCCCGGUAGCUAAAUGCGGAAGAGAUAAGUGCUGAAAGCAUCUAAGCACGAAACUUGCCCCGAGAUGAGUUCUCCCUGAC